GAUGAACGCUAGCGGCAGGCUUAACACAUGCAAGUCGAGGGGUAUAGUUCUUCGGAACUAGAGACCGGCGCACGGGUGCGUAACGCGUAUGCAAUCUGCCUUUCACAGAGGGAUAGCCCAGAGAAAUUUGGAUUAAUACCUCAUAGUAUUAUAGACUGGCAUCGGUUUAUAAUUAAAGUCACAACGGUGAAAGAUGAGCAUGCGUCCCAUUAGCUAGUUGGUAAGGUAACGGCUUACCAAGGCGACGAUGGGUAGGGGUCCUGAGAGGGAGAUCCCCCACACUGGUACUGAGACACGGACCAGACUCCUACGGGAGGCAGCAGUGAGGAAUAUUGGUCAAUGGACGCAAGUCUGAACCAGCCAUGCCGCGUGCAGGAUGACGGUCCUAUGGAUUGUAAACUGCUUUUGUACGAGAAGAAACACUCCAACGUGUUGGAGCUUGACGGUAUCGUAAGAAUAAGGAUCGGCUAACUCCGUGCCAGCAGCCGCCGUAAAAC
rnacentral:rRNA from 1 species